UACGUAGGGGGCAAGCGUUGUCCGGAAUCAUUGGCGUAAAGCGCGCGUAGGCGGCCCGGUAAGUCCGCUGUAAAAGUCCAGGGCUCAACCCUGGAAAGCCGGUGGAUACUGUCGGGCUAGAGUCCGGAAGAGGCGAGUGGAAUUCCUGGUGUAGCGGUGGAAUGCGCAGAGUAUCAGGAGGAACACCAAUGGCGAAGGCAGCUCGCUGGGACGUUACUGACGCUGAGACGCGAAAGCGUGGGGAGCAAACAGG
rnacentral:rRNA from 1 species